AAGCCAUUUCCGGAAUUUUUGGGCGUAAAGCGCGCGUAGGCGGUUUGUUAAGUCUGACGUGAAAGCCCACGGCUCAACCGUGGAGGGUCAUUGGAAACUGGGAAACUUGAGUGCAGAAGAGGAAAGUGGAAUUCCAUGUGUAGCGGUGAAAUGCGCAGAGAUAUGGAGGAACACCAGUGGCGAAGGCGACUUUCUGGUCUGUAACUGACGCUGAUGUGCGAAAGCGUGGGGAUCAAACAGGAUUAGAUACCCUGGUAGUCCACGCCGUAAACGAUAAGUGCUAAGUGUUAGGGGGUUUCCGCCCCUUAGUGCUGCAGCUAACGCAUUAAGCACUCUUACCUGGAGACGCCGCGGCCCAAA
rnacentral:rRNA from 1 species